AACGAUUAUCGGGUACAAUCAGUUCGUUAAAAUGGUUUGGAUUACUGCAUGACAGUUUGUUAUCGACUUUUGGAUCUUAAUCGAGUUGAUAUUUUGCGUCGGUUCAGGUUCGAGUUGAAUUUAAUCGGAUCUGAACGAAUUUCGGGUUCCAAAUCACGCGGUAUUAAAAAUCCGGGUUCUAAACAAAACGGAAUAACCCAUGUGGUUAGAUGAUUUGGGUUGAGAAUUGACAGCAGUAGCGAUGAACGAUGAACGAUGAACGAUGAACGAUGAACCGACGAUGACACACUUUCCCAUUGUCGCAAAAAACGCUUACCAAAACACCAACGUGAAUACAUUUCGAAAAACUCUUGAAGACAUGGUCAAUCUGGCUGAUGUGGAGGCGGCGCCUCUGAUCCCGCGGCGGCUGUGGCGGAGGUCCGGUCAAUUUUGCUGCUGUGGAGGCGGCCCCUCUGAUCCCGCGGCGGCUGUGGCGGUGGUCCGAUCAAUGGUUCCAUCUUAUUUCAUCAAAGAUUAGGUUCUGAACAGACAAAUUUUGCGGUAACUCAAACAUUCUAAUGUUGUCGAAGAUGACGAGGAAGAUCUAUAGUAGGCAACUGUUUUAAGAAAGGUAAGAAAAACUAAUACCUGCAAGUAACUUGCAUUUGAUAGGACAAUAUUUAAAAGCCCUGUGCUACAAGUCAGUCAUUUUUUUAACUGUUGUUAGUGCUUGUUUACUUUUUUUGAUAAGUUUAUAAGGUUCUAGAUUCUAGAAUGCAGUAGUUUGAGUCCUUCAUUGUUGUUUUUGCAAGUGCUAAAGUGGGUUGUUAGUGUUUAAGUUAGUAAGACUAUUGAUGUUUCGUCAAAUCAUCAAUAAAUUGUACGCAAACAAAAAUCGUCGAACCUCAUUAAUAUAUCAUACACAGCCAGAAGUUUUAAAUUUUCUUUUUGUUUUUGGUAUUUUAAAAGCCUACUUCCACUUCCUAUUUCAACCAAAAUCCUUAAUCUAAGCAGAAAGGAAGGGUGAAUGACUACCACCUCAGUUGAAUAUUACUUAUGCACUUGGCUUGUCAGUUUUUAGGUUGUUACCAGAGACUGCACGUAUGCAUUAUAGAUCACUGAUGAAUAUGAAGGCAUUAAGGAAAAACUAACUAAUACGAAGUAUAAAGUAUACAGGAAAGAAAGUUGCUGAAAAUUUCCAUUUUAAGCAUCCUGUAAGUUAAAAUUUGCCAACACUUACCCAUUUUUAACAGCAUAAUGAGCAUAUAGUCAUAUACUUCGUACAUGCUAUAAAAUUAUAAAUACCGUGCUUACCUUUGUUUUCAUCCACCAGUUGAAUUAAAAUCUAUUUUUCAUCUUCCAGAAUCCAACAUCUUCAUAAUUACACAAUUGUAGUAAGUAGUAACAUUACGCACAUUCUUGAUCAUAUCAGCUUCCUCGACAUAUUAGUAUCACAAAAAUGCCUAUAGUCUCUCCCGUGAGUCUUGCCCACAUUAUUUUGUUUGAUGUCCAUUUCCGACGGAGCCAAAGAUUCAUUUGUUCUUUUGGUUGUGGGAUGGAAUGGACUAAAUCAAAAUGGCUCUUAAAACCUCUUCGCUUCCUUUCCAUGAAGUAGAAGAUGGUCUUUCCGUUGUCGUCCCGUUAUCGCUUUUGGGUCAAUUGGAAACAACCUCUCUGCAAUUGUAGGGGUAAGGUUGCGUACACCCGAUCCCCCCUAUCCCGCUUCUUGCGGGAGCCUCUUUGAGGCAAUGGGGUAAUGAUAAUGAAAAACAGGUUUAGUGUUGCAUCAAUUCUACUGGCACAACUUGGAAUCUCUGUAGGAGAUGAUGGUGAUAAAUUUCCCCCUGUCCGCGAAAUUUCUCAUAGACACGAAUGGAUCAUCCAAGCUUCACUUAUAUUAGGUGUUAUUUUAAUAGUAGUAGUUAUAUUUCUUAUUAGGCGCUUUUUCAAGAAAAGGCAACAACAUAGCACACCACCCAGUAUCCAACUCCCUAAUCUUCCCCUGUCCCAAGUGCCUGAAACUUGUACCAACCUCUCUAAUACUCUUCCGGAAACCUAUGUCUUACGUAGAUUACCGGAAGAGAUUUAUAGAUGUUUUCCAGUAGAUACGUAUUCCACUGAACGUUGUAAUGACUUUAGUCAUAUAGAUUGUAUGAUAUGUAAUUCUCCUUUUGUAGAUGGAGAGGAGCUUUGUGUACUCCCUGUUUGUCGCCAUGUUUUUCACUCUCACUGUACUAGCUCAUGGUUUUUAAGCCAUGAUUGUCGUUGUACAGUCUGCCGUCAUGAUUAUUUUGACGGUUUUAAUAAUGAUCAAUUAGUAGUGUAAAAAAUUGUAUAUUGUACAUUGUUUUGAUCUAUAAUUAUGGACUCUGUGAAAAGAUGUACAAUGUACUUUGUUAUUCCAUCUUA